AUCCGCGCGCGUCAUCUAACAAGACAGGAGUCGUUUCUUGAGUGCCAGAGAUGUGCAAUGGUGCAUGCAGCAGACGAGUGACAUCUGGAGAUGGAAGCAUCCCGCGGUGUUUGACGCGUCCACAUUCCCCGGGUUCCGCUGCUGCUCUCCGUGAUGAGGACAUGAUCUGUCUUGCCUGUUAAAAACAGUCACACGGCCCCUGGGGAUCCCAUCGCACCGUGCAGGCAGAAGUACCACGAUCUUUCUGGGAUUAGGCACGGUGUGAGGAUAUCUGCUUUAUGGGAAGAUAAUGCAAAACGAAAGCCCUGAAGUGACAUUCUGAGCCUUUUCACCGUCUCACUCGCUAACGGAGUUUGCGAUGCACCUCCUCCGAUAUCACCCUGCACCAUACCGACUGCUGUGUCCCCUGGGCCAAACAACGCAUGGCUCUUCUCGUCUGUCCAAGAUGAAAUAAUGAAUGCAGAGGGAGAAAAAUCGGCUGUGAAGAAAACGUGGGAAUAGAGGAAACAUGGAUGAGCAGCUGCUGAGAGACACAUUAGAAGUUCAAAGUAACAAUUGUACUGUUCAAGUAACUGUAGAUGGAAUGUUUCAUGUUUGUCAUUAUUUAAAGUAAGUAUUAUGUACAGUCAUGGCAAAGAGUACGUCUGUCGUACCCAUAUUCCUCUCGCAUUAUAUCUAGGCAGGCAGAGAACCUGAUUGCUGGGUGAAAUGCUGGGAUGCCAACUUUCUCUUCAACCUUAGAGGGAAAUAUUUAACCUGAAUAACUUAAUUAAAGAUAUCUAGCUGUACAAUGGAUGUACACUAUGUUUUAAUGGAAAAGUCACCUGAUCAGUUCUCUUCAGUUCAUCCUGUUUUUUUUUAUCUGCUUAUUACAUAGAAGAUCACAGUCAGCCUGGGACAGAGUGGAACACCCUGGAUGGGAUGCUAGUUUGUCACGGAGAACACACACAGCCUCGCACAAUGCAUGCCAAUAUAGGGAUGGCGAUUCAGCUCCCUGCAUAUUGUUUACAUUUAAAUUUUCAUUCUUAACACUCCUUUUAUAUUCAGUGUUACAUUGUUAUUUAUCUAUGUUCUGUUUAUUCAGCUGCUCCUGAACAUUAUCAUGUCU